rnacentral:lncRNA from 1 species
GCCCAGAGGGUAAAGGGAUAGGGAAUAAGGCCGCUGGGAGCACGAGAGGAAGAGGGAGAGGAGUGCCAUUCCAGAGCAGAAGGGAAAAUGAGACUAGAAAAAGGGAGAAGGGCUGGAAAGAAACAUGUGUGGGAUUCUCAUCUUACCUGGAACUCUAAUAGACACAGAAGAUAAAAGGCAGAGAUGCUGUGGUCUCAAGGAGUUGCUCUCCAAAGACACGAUAGCCCAGACCUACAACAGGGCACAUCUGUGUUAAUGAAAUUGCUUUCAAGAUGACCUGAUCUGCCCACAACAUCACUGCUGGAAUAACCUUUCUCCAACUCUGCUUUCACCAUGGCACAUCGACCUUGAUUUUAGACCCUAUAAUGCCUCAUUUUUUUGUUUAUUGCAUAAAGUCCUUGGAACUUCCAAGUCCAGGGAACUUCCUUGCUUAGUUCCCAGGGCUCUGCAAACUCUAGUUCCAAGGUAGCACUUCUCUGACCUCGCUUCCUACCAACCAGCUUACUAUUUAUUAGUAGUAUAUCUUACUAUUAUACACAUGCCUAUAUGCAUGCCAAGCUGUUCCACCUUUUAUCGUCAUCUUCUGUGUUCAAGGUCCAAAUAAACCAUAGUCUACUUUGAAACUUUCCCUACAGUAGUAGCUCAUGUAGAUCUUUCUAU